CGCCAGACUCCUACGGGAGGCAGCAGUCGGGAAUAUUGCGCAAUGGAGGAAACUCUGACGCAGUGACGCCGCGUAUAGGAAGAAGGUUUUCGGAUUGUAAACUAUUGUCGUGAGGGAAGAAAUUGACAGUACCUCAGGAGGAAGCUCCGGCUAACUAUGUGCCAGCAGCCGCGGUAAUACAUAGGGAGCAAGCGUUAUCCGGAUUUAUUGGGUGUAAAGGGUGCGUAGACGGGAAAUUAAGUUAGUUGUGAAAGCCCUCGGCUUAACUGAGGAACUGCAACUAAAACUAUUGUUCUUGAGUGCAGGAGAGGAAAGCGGAAUUCCUAGUGUAGCGGUGAAAUGCGUAGAUAUUAGGAGGAACACCAGUGGCGAAGGCGGCUUUCUGGACUGUAACUGACGUUGAGGCACGAAAGUGUGGGGAGCAAACAGGAUUAGAUACCCCCGUA
rnacentral:rRNA from 1 species